rnacentral:rRNA from 1 species
GAUGAACGCUGGCGGCGUGCCUAAUACAUGCAAGUCGAGCGAAUGGAUUGAGAGCUUGCUCUUAUGAAGUUAGCGGCGGACGGGUGAGUAACACGUGGGUAACCUGCCCAUAAGACUGGGAUAACUCCGGGAAACCGGGGCUAAUACCGGAUAACAUUUUGAACCGCAUGGUUCGAAAUUGAAAGGCGGCUUCGGCUGUCACUUAUGGAUGGACCCGCGUCGCAUUAGCUAGUUGGUGAGGUAACGGCUCACCAAGGCAACGAUGCGUAGCCGGCCUGGGAGGGUGAUCGGCCACACUGCGACUGAGACACGGCCCAGACUCCUACGGGAGGCAGCAGUAGGGAAUCUUCCGCAAUGGACGAAAGUCUGACGGAGCAACGCCGCGUGAGUGAUGAAGGCUUUCGGGUCGUAAAACUCUGUUGCUAGGGAGGAACAAGUGCUAGUUGAAUAAGCUGGCACCUUGACGGUACCUAACCAGAAAGCCACGGCUAACUACGUGCCAGCCGCCGCCGUAA